rnacentral:rRNA from 1 species
AACGAACGCUGGCGGCAUGCCUAACACAUGCAAGUCGAACGAGAACUUCGGGUCUAGUGGCGCACGGGUGCGUAACGCGUGGGAACCUGCCCUUAGGUUCGGAAUAACUCCCCGAAAGGGGUGCUAAUACCGGAUAAUGUCUUCGGACCAAAGAUUUAUUGCCUUUGGAUGGGCCCGCGUUGGAUUAGCUAGUUGGUAGGGUAAAAGCCUACCAAGGCGACGAUCCAUAGCUGGUCUGAGAGGAUGAUCAGCCACACUGGGACUGAGACACGGCCCAGACUCCUACGGGAGGCAGCAGUGGGGAAUAUUGGACAGUGGGCGAAAGCCUGAUCCAGCAAUGCCGCGUGAGUGAUGAAGGCCUUAGGGUUGUAAAGCUCUUUUACCCGGGAUGAUAAUGACGGUACCGGGAGAAUAAGCUCCGGCUAACUCCGUG